rnacentral:lncRNA from 1 species
GGAGACCAUAGAUGAGUCACAGGUUAGGUCGACCCAACCCUUACUGGCCAUAGAGUUAGGAAAUGUAUCCCGAGACCUCAAGACUGACCUAUUAGGUGGGGGAGUUCGGAUCACAGUACAGAAUCUUCCGUGCAUGGUCUCACAGACUACCUUGAUCAAGAGACUGAGAGAUCUGUCUUGAUCGAGGAGAAUCUUACAGCUCUUAGAGACAAGUACGACAUACCUAAUAAAUAUGAAAUGCUAGUGCCGAA